CCCACAGGGGUGCUGGAACAACUACGGUCCAUGGUGGAAGACUCUGAGGACGCCGCUCCAGGGCUACAGCCUGUAUAGUCCAUGCCCUCGUCUGUCUCGGCAUCCAUUAGGCUCGGGGGACCCUGGAAGAAAGGAGAGGGGCCCUAAGUUCUGGACUGUCUCGGCCGUCUACGGAGGGCCCAGACUGGAGGUGACAGCAACCUCCAGGAACUCCAAAGGCACCUACCACCGUGAGCACAUGACCAGGAGAAGCCUGCCCGGUAGACAAAACAUCUAUCCACCCGCCCUUCCCUAUCUUCCAGCUUCCGGUCCAUUCCUAGGAAAGUUCUGCCCCACAUCUGCAGGUCUAUAGAAGCUUGCCCUGGGCCUAAAUUUGCCAUGGUGAGGCUAAAGGGUAGGCUCUGCCCUCUGCCUGUGGGCCUGAGGCUCUUCUCCAUAGGGCCAGAGCAGGAAGGUAUCAGAGAGGCAUCGGAAGACACCCGCUGCCAAGCUCGGAAGCACCCAGAGCCUCCGUCUCUCGCACAUCAUGUACCUCAGUUUUUGUAAGCAUGUGCUAAAGGUUUUAAAAAGUAAAUAAAUAACUGAAAUGGC
rnacentral:lncRNA from 1 species